rfam:Muricauda lutaonensis strain CC-HSB-11, complete genome.
CCUGGGGAAGCCGAAAACCAGAUAGAGUAGGCA